UGGGGAAUCUUCCGCAAUGGACGAAAGUCUGACGGAGCAACGCCGCGUGAGUGAAGAAGGUUUUCGGAUCGUAAAACUCUGUCUUUUGGGGCGAACGUGAGUAUGGUGAACAAUCAUAGUCAGUGACGGUACCAAAGGAGGAAGCCACGGCUAACUACGUGCCAGCAGCCGCGGUAAUACGUAGGUGGCAAGCGUUGUCCGGAAUUAUUGGGCGUAAAGAGCGCGUAGGCGGGAUAGUCAGUCUGUUGUAAAGUGCGGGGCUCAACCCCGUGAUCGCAAUGGAAACAGCUAUUCUUGAGUGCAGGAGAGGAAAGUGGAAUUCCCAGUGUAGCGGUGAAAUGCGUAGAUAUUGGGAGGAACACCAGUGGCGAAGGCGGCUUUCUGGACUGUGUCUGACGCUGAGGCGCGAAAGCCAGGGGAGCGAACGGGAUUAGAUACCCCGGUAGUCCUGGCCGUAAACGAUGGGUACUAGGUGUGGGAGGUAUCGACCCCUUCCGUGCCGGAGUUAACGCAAUAAGUACCCCGCCUGGGGAGUACGGUCGCAAGACUGAAACUCAAAGGAAUUGACGGGGUCAUAGCUGUUUCCU
rnacentral:rRNA from 1 species